rnacentral:rRNA from 1 species
UUGUAGAGAUACGAGGGUGCCUUCGGGAACUGUGAGACAGGUGCUGCAUGGCUGUCGUCAGCUCGUGUUGUGAAAUGUUGGGUUAAGUCCCGCAACGAGCGCAACCCUUAUCCUUUGUUGCCAGCGGUCCGGCCGGGAACUCAAAGGAGACUGCCAGUGAUAAACUGGAGGAAGGUGGGGAUGACGUCAAGUCAUCAUGGCCCUUACGACCAGGGCUACACACGUGCUACAAUGGCGCAUACAAAGAGAAGCGACCUCGCGAGAGCAAGCGGACCUCAUAAAGUGCGUCGUAGUCCGGAUUGGAGUCUGCAACUCGACUCCAUGAAGUCGGAAUCGCUAGUAAUCGUGGAUCAGAAUGCCACGGUGAAUACGUUCCCGGGCCUUGUACACACCGCCCGUCACACCAUGGGAGUGGGUUGCAAAAGAAGUAGGUAGCUUAACCUUCGGGAGGGCGCUUACCACUUUGUGAUUCAUGACUGGGGUGAAGUCGUAACAAGGUAACCGUAGGGGAACCUGCGGUUGGAUCAC